UUGACAGCCCUAGAGACUGAAGUCCUCUCUAGUCACAGGACGGGUACAGCUCAGCCAACAGCAGUGCAAGCGUCCUCCCUACCAGCGUAACUGCGCCCUGUCUGCUGUUAACUGACCUGAUGGGAGGGCAUUUGCAGUGCAGAGUGCCCACAUGAGUCAUCCCACAGCA
ensembl:misc_RNA